rnacentral:tRNA from 1 species
UCCGGAUUAGCUCAGCGGUAGAGUAGGGCACUGUUAAUGCCUUGGUCAUUGGUUCGAAUCCAAUAUCCGGAGCCA